rnacentral:rRNA from 1 species
UGGGGAAUUUUGGACAAUGGGGGCAACCCUGAUCCAGCAAUGCCGCGUGUGUGAAGAAGGCCUUCGGGUUGUAAAGCACUUUUGUCCGGAAAGAAAUCGCCCUGGCUAAUAUCCGGGGUGGAUGACGGUACUGGAAGAAUAAGCACCGGCUAACUACGUGCCAGCAGCCGCGGUAAUACGUAGGGUGCAAGCGUUAAUCGGAAUUACUGGGCGUAAAGCGUGCGCAGGCGGUUGUGCAAGACAGAUGUGAAAUCCCCGGGCUUAACCUGGGAAUGGCAUUUGUGACUGCACGGCUAGAGUGUGUCAGAGGGGGGUAGAAUUCCACGUGUAGCAGUGAAAUGCGUAGAUAUGUGGAGGAACACCGAUGGCGAAGGCAGCCCCCUGGGAUAACACUGACGCUCAUGCACGAAAGCGUGGGGAGCAAACAGGAUUAGAUACCCUGGUAGUCCACGCCCUAAACGAUGUCAACUAGUUGUCGGGUCUUAAUUGACUUGGUAACGCAGCU